rnacentral:rRNA from 2 species
UACGAAGGUUGCAAGCGUUACUCGGAAUUACUAGGCGUAAAGGGCAGGUAGGUGGUUUGGUAAGUCUAUUGUGAAAGCUCCCGGCUUAACUGGGAGAGGCCAAUGGAUACUGCCAAGCUUGAGUAUAGGAGAGGUUACUGGAAUUCCCGGUGUAGCGGUGAAAUGCGCAGAUAUCGGGAGGAACACCAAUGGCGAAAGCAGGUAACUGGACUAUUACUGACACUCAACUGCGAAAGCUAGGGGAGCAAACAGG